CCUACGGGGGGCAGCAGUGAGGAAUAUUGGUCAAUGGGCGGGAGCCUGAACCAGCCAAGUCGCGUGAGGGAAGACGGUCCUAUGGAUUGUAAACCUCUUUAGGCGGGGAGCAAUGCCGGGCACGCGUGCCCGGAGGGAGAGUACCCGCAGAAUAAGCAUCGGCUAACUGCGUGCCAGCGGCCGCGGUGAUACGGAGGAUGCGAGCGUUAUCCGGAUUUCUUGGGUUUAAGGGGUGCGUAGGCGGAUUUUUAAAUCGGAGGUAAAAUGUCCGGGCUCAACCAGGGCCGGCCGUUGAAACUGGGGAUCUUGAGUGGGCGAGAAGUAGGCGGAAUGCGUGGUGUAGCUGUGAAAUGCAUAGAUAUCACGCAGAACUCCGAUUGCGAAGGCAGCAUACCGGCGCCCGACUGACGCUGAGGCACGAAAGCGUGGGGAUCGAACAGGAUUAGAUACCCCUGUAGUC
rnacentral:rRNA from 1 species